UGCGUAGGUGGUGAGGUAAGUCGGAUGUGAAAGCUCCGAGCUCAACUCGGAAAUGGCAUUGGAAACUACCUUGCUCGAGGGUUUGAGGGGGGACUGGAAUACUUGGUGUAGCAGUGAAAUGCGUAGAUAUCAAGUAGAACACCAGUGGCGAAGGCGAGUCCCUCGGAAAACUACCUGACACUGAGGCACGAAAGGACUGGGGAAGGGCAAACAA
rnacentral:rRNA from 1 species